rnacentral:rRNA from 1 species
UGAAGGGCGUGCUAAUCUGCGAUAAGCGCCGGUAAGGUGAUAUGAACCGUUAUAACCGGCGAUACCCGAAUGGGGAAACCCAGUGUGACUCGUCACACUAUCAUUAACUGAAUCCAUAGGUUAAUGAGGCGAACCGGGGGAACUGAAACAUCUAAGUACCCCGAGGAAAAGAAAUCAACCGAGAUUCCCCCAGUAGCGGCGAGCGAACGGGGAGGAGCCCAGAGCCUGAAUCAGCAUGUGUGUUAGUGGAAGCGUCUGGAAAGGCGCGCGAUACAGGGUGACAGCCCCGUACACAAAAGCGCAUGUGCUGUGAGCUCGAUGAGUAGGGCGGGACACGUGGUAUCCUGUCUGAAUAUGGGGGGACCAUCCUCCAAGGCUAAAUACUCCUGACUGACCGAUAGUGAACCAGUACCGUGAGGGAAAGGCGAAAAGAACCCCGGCGAGGGGAGUGAAAAAGAACCUGAAACCGUGUACGUACAAGCAGUGGGAGCCCCACCACCAAAGCAUUUGCUGUACCGCGUUGACGGAGCGAAGCGACGUCAAACCGAUAAAACAGCAGUGUAAAGUGAGCCGCAGGGCGCUUUGCGCGACAGCGCAAAGGCAGGCGGUUUCGCGUAGCGAAAGCGAAUGCUUUGGGGUGGGGUGACUGCGUACCUUUUGUAUAAUGGGUCAGCGACUUAUAUUCUGUAGCAAGGUUAACCGAAUAGGGGAGCCGGAGGGAAACCGAGUCUUAAUUGGGCGUUAAGUUGCAGGGUAUAGACCCGAAACCCGGUGAUCUAGCCAUGGGCAGGUUGAAGGUUGGGUAACACUAACUGGAGGACCGAACCGACUAAUGUUGAAAAAUUAGCGGAUGACCUGUGGCUGGGGGUGAAAGGCCAAUCAAACCGGGAGAUAGCUGGUUCUCCCCGAAAGCUAUUUAGGUAGCGCCUCGUGAAUUCAUCUCCGGGGGUAGAGCACUGUUUCGGCUAGGGGGCCAUCCCGGCUUACCAACCCGAUGCAAACUGCGAAUACCGGAGAAUGUUAUCACGGGAGACACACGGCGGGUGCUAACGUCCGUCGUGAAGAGGGAAACAACCCAGACCGCCAGCUAAGGUCCCAAAGUCAUGGUUAAGUGGGAAACGAUGUGGGAAGGCCCAGACAGCCAGGAUGUUGGCUUAGAAGCAGCCAUCAUUUAAAGAAAGCGUAAUAGCUCACUGGUCGAGUCGGCCUGCGCGGAAGAUGUAACGGGGCUAAACCAUGCACCGAAGCUGCGGCAGCGACACUGUGUGUUGUUGGGUAGGGGAGCGUUCUGUAAGCCUGCGAAGGUGGCCUGUGAGGGUUGCUGGAGGUAUCAGAAGUGCGAAUGCUGACAUAAGUAACGAUAAAGCGGGUGAAAAGCCCGCUCGCCGGAAGACCAAGGGUUCCUGUCCAACGUUAAUCGGGGCAGGGUGAGUCGACCCCUAAGGCGAGGCCGAAAGGCGUAGUCGAUGGGAAACGGGUUAAUAUUCCCGUACUUGGUGUUACUGCGAAGGGGGGACGGAGAAGGCUAUGUUGGCCGGGCGACGGUUGUCCCGGUUUAAGCGUGUAGGUGUGUGUUCCAGGUAAAUCCGGUUCACUUUAACACUGAGGCGUGACGACGAGGCACUACGGUGCUGAAGCAACAAAUGCCCUGCUUCCAGGAAAAGCCUCUAAGCAUCAGGUAACAUCAAAUCGUACCCCAAACCGACACAGGUGGUCAGGUAGAGAAUACCAAGGCGCUUGAGAGAACUCGGGUGAAGGAACUAGGCAAAAUGGUGCCGUAACUUCGGGAGAAGGCACGCUGACACGUAGGUGAAGUGAUUUACUCAUGGAGCUGAAGUCAGUCGAAGAUACCAGCUGGCUGCAACUGUUUAUUAAAAACACAGCACUGUGCAAACACGAAAGUGGACGUAUACGGUGUGACGCCUGCCCGGUGCCGGAAGGUUAAUUGAUGGGGUCAGCGCAAGCGAAGCUCCUGAUCGAAGCCCCGGUAAACGGCGGCCGUAACUAUAACGGUCCUAAGGUAGCGAAAUUCCUUGUCGGGUAAGUUCCGACCUGCACGAAUGGCGUAAUGAUGGCCAGGCUGUCUCCACCCGAGACUCAGUGAAAUUGAACUCGCUGUGAAGAUGCAGUGUACCCGCGGCAAGACGGAAAGACCCCGUGAACCUUUACUAUAGCUUGACACUGAACAUUGAGCCUUGAUGUGUAGGAUAGGUGGGAGGCUUUGAAGUGUGGACGCCAGUCUGCAUGGAGCCGACCUUGAAAUACCACCCUUUAAUGUUUGAUGUUCUAACGUGGACCCGUUACCCGGGUUGCGGACAGUGUCUGGUGGGUAGUUUGACUGGGGCGGUCUCCUCCUAAAGAGUAACGGAGGAGCACGAAGGUUGGCUAAUCCUGGUCGGACAUCAGGAGGUUAGUGCAAUGGCAUAAGCCAGCUUGACUGCGAGCGUGACGGCGCGAGCAGGUGCGAAAGCAGGUCAUAGUGAUCCGGUGGUUCUGAAUGGAAGGGCCAUCGCUCAACGGAUAAAAGGUACUCCGGGGAUAACAGGCUGAUACCGCCCAAGAGUUCAUAUCGACGGCGGUGUUUGGCACCUCGAUGUCGGCUCAUCACAUCCUGGGGCUGAAGUAGGUCCCAAGGGUAUGGCUGUUCGCCAUUUAAAGUGGUACGCGAGCUGGGUUUAGAACGUCGUGAGACAGUUCGGUCCCUAUCUGCCGUGGGCGCUGGAGAACUGAGGGGGGCUGCUCCUAGUACGAGAGGACCGGAGUGGACGCAUCACUGGUGUUCGGGUUGUCAUGCCAAUGGCACUGCCCGGUAGCUAAAUGCGGAAGAGAUAAGUGCUGAAAGCAUCUAAGCACGAAACUUGCCCCGAG